rnacentral:rRNA from 1 species
AUUGAACGCUGGCGGCAGGCCUAACACAUGCAAGUCGAACGGUAACAGGAAGCAGCUUGCUGCUUCGCUGACGAGUGGCGGACGGGUGAGUAAUGUCUGGGAAACUGCCUGAUGGAGGGGGAUAACUACUGGAAACGGUAGCUAAUACCGCAUAACGUCGCAAGACCAAAGAGGGGGACCUUAGGGCCUCUUGCCAUCGGAUGUGCCCAGAUGGGAUUAGCUAGUAGGUGGGGUAACGGCUCACCUAGGCGACGAUCCCUAGCUGGUCUGAGAGGAUGACCAGCCACACUGGAACUGAGACACGGUCCAGACUCCUACGGGAGGCAGCAGUGGGGAAUAUUGCACAAUGGGCGCAAGCCUGGUGCAGCCAUGCCGCGUGUAUGAAGAAGGCCUUCGGGUUGUAAAGUACUUUCAGCGGGGAGGAAGGGAGUAAAGUUAAUACCUUUGCUCAUUGACGUUACCCGCAGAAGAAGCACCGGCUAACUCCGUG